ACUGAGCUAAAUCCCCAGCCCCAGGGAAGAUAAUUCUUAAAAUAGCAUCUAAUGUGGUUUUGGUUUUGCUUCUUUUUUUUUUUUUUUUUUUUUUAGAACACCAAAUUACCAUGGCCAUUCAGAAUAGAAAAUAAGUCAGCAAAUUGUAAUUCUUCUGAAGUAUUUUAGACAUCAUAGGGUCCUGUGAUAAUGGUAAUAGGGAGAAAAGUCCCAUGUAGUUGUCACAUUGGUGAUAUUUCAUGAGCAGAGUUAAACCAGGUCGUCACCUCUUCUGAUGACGCAGUGCCACGAGACAGCUUCGCAAACCAAGAGUUAGGUUUUGGCCCACACAUCCCUUUGAAAGGUGUAAUGAAUGAGCUGUGUAAUUGUGUCUUCUUAUAGUUUAUCUUAUCACUACAAGUCUCAAGUUCUCAAAUGAUAACAAUUGAAAUUAUUUACAGGUUGCUUUAAUAACAGAGGCUUGAGCAUGCUAAGAAGUGAAGAAGCUUUAAACAGCACAUGUUGGGAGAUGAAGAUGUAAGACUGGAGAACCCUCCACUGAAGCAGAAAGUAAAGAUGGCUUGGAAUUAGGGAAUGUGAGCGAGUGCCCACAGGUCCUGCUGCCCACUCAACUAGGUGGGAGGUGAGCAGAGAGUGCCCACAGGUCCUGCUGCCCACCCAACUAGGUGGGAGGUGAGCAGCGGAACUUAGCUCAAAAAAGAAAAAAACCUCAUCCCAUUCCAAAUGGGAAAGUCAGAACUUUGAUUCUGAGAAGCAGAAAAUAAAGCCCUGAAACUGCACGUAAUUUCAUAGGAACAUGUUAGGAAAUUAGUUCUGCAGGAAAGGGAGGUGUCUGUAAUAUCCCUCAGAGAUUUAAUGGAGAAGAAUGUUAACAUAAGAUAUGACUUAAAAUCCCAUAUACAGCACAUACUGUUGUAAAAGUGAAUGUCUUUCAGUACUAUCUGCUUCAAAAUAGUCCCAAAGCCCUGCGAGAUUGAAGAUGUGCUGUAUCAAGAGAACACUGAGUUUUAUCUAUGUGACCCAAGGGAUAGAUUCAGAAAGCUAGCUUUCUACAGGGCCACACAGUUCAAUGCUCUAUGAGUGGCGGCUAGGCAUGGAAUCACUGAGCUAAUAAAAUAUGAAGUUAAAAGAUCUCAAGGAGAGGGGAAGAUUGAUGUAAUAUUUUAAUCAAUAAAAAUCUAAUGAAACAUGAUUUUAAAAAAUCUUAGCUAGCAGCUUACAAAAUAAUUGUUGUAAUUCUCCAUGAGACUAGAGAAAUCAUAAUGAAAUUUUUAAAGAAGUCAUGUAUUUACCUCCAUAGAAGCAUUUUUAUUAUUUUUAUUGCUAUGCUUGUGUGCUAUCUAAUAGUUAAAAGGAGCUUAAAUCUCUUGAUGGCAUGGAUUGGUAUGAAUAUGAAUGUUCUAAAUAAAUCUACAUACCAAAAUACUGCCUCCCCUGGUAAUGUCUGAUUAAGCUGAAAUUAGCUUUUUAUGUUCUAAAGUUCUUUUAAAUAUGAAUUUCAUUUAAUCUAUUAGGCUUCCUAAAUGCAUUCUUCUAGAAUAAGUUCUUCCACUCUUCCUGACUUUUUAAAAAAUUUGAAUUAAUAACACAUGAUAUUUGCUGUAUUUUUCCCUGAGUAUCCAGAGUUAAAUUAUCCUACAUAGUCCUCCAUUGGUGGGUGGAGGAAAUUUAGAAAGUACACCAUACAUUCCAACAUACUAAAAAUUGAAUAUAAAAAUAUAAGACCUAAAAGACAGAUACCACCAUACACAAAGACGCUUUAAAAGGAAAUUACUGUUCCCAUUAUUAAUUAAAUGUACUCCUAAAUGGACAAACAUUAAAAACCCUGCCUGUAUUAUUGCCCACAGAGUUGCUAUUGUAAUUUGGUAUGUAGAGUUUAUACUACAUGGGAAAAUAGCGCCACAUAAAUUUUUUUAAGCACAUAAAAUGAUUCCCAAGUAAUAAAAGCUGAAGCUGGAAAACAGUAAUUCUGAAUGUUCCAACUUGAAUCAAGUAGUAACUUGGUUACAUACAUGAAAAAACAAGAAUGUGAAAUUGUAGAAAGUAUAUAAUGGGACCUUCAUGAACUCAAGAUUAAAAUGGAAGGGAAAGCCAAAAUCUCAGUUAUGAAAGGCCCAAAGGAGAAUAGAGAGAGUUGAAAGCAGAUAUUCAAGAUGAUAACCAACAAAAGCUUUAGGUUCUGUUGCUAAAAUAAAAAUAUUAUUGAUAUUGUAGAAAAUAGGUUACAUAGGCAAAGGUUUUAUACUUAUUGAAGGUCAGGGUUCUAUACACAAAGCCAGGAACUGCAAGUCCAGCAGGAGAGUUUGAAAUAGCUUUGGAGGAUAUUUGGUGUGCACGCAUGCAUACAUACACAUAUAAUAUGCUAGGCAUGAGAUAAGAGCAAAAAAAUUCAGACUAAGACAGUUGAAUCAAAACAGGCUUGGACAGAGAAAUAUUCUGAAACUUCAAGAGUAAGUGCUUUUAAACAGCUAUUUUUUUCCUUUUAUUGAAAGUAGGGUUUUUUUUUUUUCCACAUAAUUAGUUUCCCCUCUCUCUACUUCUCAGAGUUCCACCACUCCUAUCUGGUCCACCCUUUUCUGUCUCCUGUAGAAAACACAGGAUUCUGAGUGAUUAUGGGGUAAUAUAAGAUUUAAAAAUGAAUACAUUGGAAUUGGCCAAAACAGAAGGAAAAGAGCUCAAGAAAAGGCUUAAGGGUUGGGGAUUUAGCUCAGUGGUAGAGCGCUUGCCUAGUAAGUGCAAGGCCCUGGGUUCGGUCCUCAGCUCAAAGAAAAAAAAAAAAGGAAAAAAAAAGGCUUAAGAAGUAGGCCCACUCAUUCACAUACUCAGGAAUCACAUAAAAACACUAUAAACUGGGAGCUAUAGUAUUUAAUGUGCAAAGGAUCUGUAAGGUAUAAAAAUAUAUGUACUUGUAUAUGUUACAUAUAAAAAAUAGUAAUCUUUUAAACACUUUAAUAGGGGAGAUCAUCAUGGGACAAUGAACCAUAGAUGCCCUUGGGUUCAUCCUAUCUUGUCUAUUGACUGCAACUUCCUUAGUGAGUCUUCCUAGGAGGAAAGGAAAAUUUCAUUUGCAAAGUGGUUACCAAGUGGAAGUAGCCUCUGGGCUGGGGUGGAAGGCAUCUGUCUGCUUCUCCUUUCAACUUUAGUUCCCCAUUUGGUACAGACCUGUGCAAGCCCUUUGCAUGCUUCCACAGUUUCUAUAAGUUGAUUUAUAUUGUUGAUUUAGAGGGCCUCAGUGGCCCAGCCCCUCUGCCCCAUACACUUUUUCUGCCUAAAGAACCUUGCUCUGCAUUUCCAACCCUAGGAUUAUUACCCAUCAUGCCAUUCGACCCAGUUUUUUUUUUUAAAUGUAGGCUGUAGGAAAUUGAACUAAGAGCCUCACCAUAGACCAAUCUUGUUUAUGCUGUGGAUAAUUAGUAAUCCACAGUAUUGAAUAAUUGCUUUUAAAUUGUAUUCUUCCACAAGGGGGCACUGGACCUCCAGCUGAACAAAUUGGGGAGACCUACAAGUGAGGUCUCAUGGGAGUCGUAUAUAAGGGGCAGACGUUGCACAAUUCUGCCAUGCUAAGAACUAUUUUCAGAGUGGUUAGAUACGUUUGUGGUAUUCUAAUUCCUUAGUAAUGUAAAGGCUUAUUUCUGAACUUCCAAAUAAGAUAGUGGGCUGCAGGCUUCGUCUGUGAGAGCCAAGAAAAAAAAUACAGAAUAUUCCUUCCCAAAAGUUUGUCUUAUCCUUACCCAGUACUGGAAAAAGCUUCUUAGUAAGAAAAUCCUCAUUUGCAUGCCCCCAAAACCCAGAGGAGACAACACAAACUAACAAAUGCAAAAAUCAUAAACACAGAAAAACGAAAGGCACAGCAAUAAAACUCCAGUAUAAUUCCACAAGUGUUGAACUUCAGUGAGUAAAAUGACAGGUGAAAAUAUCAAAAGAUCUGGAAAAAGUAUCAGUGACCUGCAAACAAACAAAGUAAUUGACUACAGGUCUUAGAGAGGAAUAGAGAGGAGGAGAAUGGAUGAAAAACAGGAGUGAUGUGGGAAAAAUAAUACAGUGGGAAAGUGAAAGUGAAAAACCCAAAUGAGUCAAGUGGAAGGGAUGGAGAGAUGGUUCAGCAGAUAGGAGUGAGGAGUGAAUACUACCCCUGCAGAAAAGAGUUGGGUUCUCAGUACCAAUGUCAGACAGCUGACAACCUCCUGUAAAUCCAAGUCCAAAAGACCCAAUAUCUCUGGUCUGUGUGGGCAUUGCAUUCAGAAUACACUUAAACUCAUAUACACAUUGUAUUAGGGUUCUCUAAAAGAA
rnacentral:sRNA from 1 species